rnacentral:lncRNA from 10 species
GCUAAAACAAACAAGAGUAUGUGUCUUCACAUAGUAAGGUAUCAAGAGGUGGCUGUCACUUUAAGUUCACUUUCUCAUGGAUGCCAUCAAACACCAGGUUUAUUCAACCUUCAUGCACUGCCAUCACCUUCCCAUCCACGGACUCUUCCGACAUCUGCUGAACGUCAUCACAAGGGGGCUGCCAUAGCUCCACCCGUUGUAUCAGCAUUCAGGGAAGGAGGACAGUGCCAACAAUAUGUCUGCUCAUUUUUUUAAGAGAGGAAAAGACUCUCCUGGAAGUCCACGGCAGCAUUAUGCUUACUUCUUACUUGCCAGAACUUUGUCAUAUGGUCAGACUUUAAAGCAGAGAGGCCUUUGCUGUCAGUGGAAUACAGCAACACACAAGACAGACACAGUUGCCUUCCCGCUGAGGCUGGACGUCUACAAAGAAACUCUGGACAGCUAUUUGCCAAGGCGAUGGGCACUACAGAUGAGACGCACAAAUGAUAUGACUCAUGGGUGACGCUGGGCAAACCUCGGUGGUUGAGUCCUGUUGGGUUUUCUCAUAGGAGAGCUUUCCAAGGUGAAAGUGUUGGACACUCUUUCUUCAUCUCAGAUUUAAUCAACUAAGAAUGCUGCAAAUUGAACACCAGUCCACAAAACUCAGGAAUACAUGAAAAGCAUUGUGCCUUAUUUUUAACUAACUCAAAUUCUAUGUCAGUCUCCCUUUUAUGCUGGAUGUUGGCGCUAAAUCUCAGUGGGUUCCUCAUUCUGCCAGACCUGUGUCCAGUUUGGGGGCUUCACAUAGAGCCACCCCAUCACAGGAGAGGGAAGGGUCUUGCUCUUGGUUGCCAUCACUCCACCCUCUUGUCUUCCGAGCUUUGAUGUUCACUUUCCUUUUCACCACUCGGAAGCUUCCUGCCAUGAUACAUUGAGACCUCAAUGUUAAUGCCAAUUGGGGUUUGGGGUUCUCAUAAACUCAGAAGUCCAGGAAAAUCGCCUGCUGCCUCCCACAACACUCUGAGGGCAUUCUGGAAUCCUACCACUUACCUGGAGCCUGCUGGCCUCAACUGUUUUGAAGUCUGUGUCUGGGCCAUGCAGGUAAAUGGGAGGAUGUUCUGUGGCCAUAAAAAUACCCGAAGUCCCACCUAAAGUUGAUGCAGGGUCUUCUGCAUUUCAUUGCAAAAUUGUUCUAUCAUUUCUAUAGUUUUCAGCCUACAGUCAGGGGCCAGGACUUUGCACCCUUGGUAAACCUCAAUCUCUUCUCCUUCCUGGCUUCUACUCCUUUCUCCCUCAAUCCCAAAUCAAGGCCCUUGAUUGUCUGGAGGUAGGAAAGCCUGGUUCUGGCUCAUGAUAUAGUCUACAUCAUAGCCUUUGUCAUCUCAUGGAUUCACUCAACAACCGUGUGUGGAUGGGGCCACCCAAUAUGUGCCAGGAGUUGAGGACACGCAGGGUUAUGAUGAUGAAAUAGAUAAGGGGCCCACACUCACGGACCCUGCAGGACAGUGGAGCUGUGGACCCAGCAUGCGAGUAAAGACCCAGUGAGCUCACCAGACAGAUCAUUUAAAUCAGGUGAUAGGACAGUGAAGGGCGGGGGCUGCAUUAGUUUUGGUGGCAAGAGAAGGAUUAUCUUCUGAGAGGAUCCACAAAGUAAAGAGGGCCGGUAUGACUGGGUAGAGUGAGGACCGUGGUUGAGGCAGAAGAUGGAGCUCUUUAUUGAGCUCUAGGGAGCCCGUCGGAUGGGACCUACGGGGCUUGAGGGAGCCCAUCGGAUGGGACCUACGGGGCUUGAGGGAGCCCAUCGGAUGGGACCUACGGGGCUUGAGGGAGCCCAUCGGAUGGGACCUACGGGGCUUGAGGGAGCCCAUAGGAUGGGACCUACGGGGCUUGGCGGACUUAAUUUUAAAUGUGGAAGAAGCCAUUGCAGAGCCUGAACCUGAGGUGUGGCAUGGUUCGAGUUACUUCAAACCAAAUUUAUUGAAAUCUCUUUGCAUAAAAUGCAAUGCGUAGAUCUUAAGAGUAUAGUUCAAUGAGAUUUGAUAAAUGUAUGCACCAGUGUAACAACUCCUCCAGUCAAGAUAAAGAAACGUCCCUCACUAUUUCCUCAUGCCCCUUCAUAGUCAAUAUCUGAUCCACUCAGCCUAGGCAACCAUUGAUCUGCUUUUAUCACCAUAGAUAUUUGGGUAUGAGUCUUUGUAUGAUCAGCUAUUUUUAUGUUGCUUGGGUAAAUAUUUAGGAAUAGAACUGCUGAGGCCAAGGAUAGAAUAUUUAACUUGAUUGCCGACUGUUUUUCCCAAGUGGUUGUACCACGUUCUGCCUCCACCAGCAUGUGUGAGUUUCCAGGGCUUCUUGUCCUUGCCAGAUACCAGGUGGUUGCAUGCCGUGUCCCAGUGGCUGUUGGGAAUCACAGUAGCUGGGCCCAAGAUGACUCUGGAGGACUUUACAUUUGCGCCCAUCUGUGGGUCCUCCUAUGCCAGUGUUUCCCAAAGCAUGGGCCAUGCGCAUUAUUCUUUCCAAAAUGAUGUCAUAUGGUGCAUAGGAAUGUCAUGGAAUACAAUGGAAUCACUCUGGAAGGAACUUUUCCCUUCUCAGGUGUUGUUUGAAUAUUCCUGAUGUGAUCGAGGAGAUUAACUGCUACUUAACAUCUCUGCACCGCUUGCUAAACUCCUUGUUAAAAUUAUGCUUUUUAUUUUGAAGGAGUUCUAGAUUCACAUGCGUUGUAAGAAAUAACAGAGAGAUUGCAUGUACUCUUCACCCAGUUUCUCCCAAUGGUAACAUCUUGCGAAACUAUGGUGCAAAAUCAAAACCAAAUCUCUUUUUAUAACAAAGAGAGGGUUCCCACCUCAAGCUCAGAUCCUUCCCUGUGUAGCUAGAACUUAGUAACAGUGUUUUAUUUUAUUAUAUUCAGUUUCAAGGGUUACAUUCUAUUUAUAACAAAUGAUACUGGUUUUCCCUUUACAAUAAUGAUAAAAUUUUAUUACUGAGUAAAUUGAUUUAUGUUUAAAAAUUGAGUUAUUUUAAAGAAUAUAUUAUAUAAAUGAUUGUGCUAGCUGUAUGAAAAUGAAAGUGAAUGAUACAUAAUUGAAUUUCAGGAAACACUGAAAACACUGAAGCUACACUAUCAAAUGGAAUGCUUUCCAGACCCUACUUUUUCUACAUUGAACAACUACUAUGAAUCUGAUACAUCAUGAAUAAACCCAUCAAUUCACUGCAUUUAUGCACGCAAUCGAUAUUUAUUGAGGGCCUUAUGAAUGUAACGAUUUUUCUGGGCCUUGAGGAUGACACAAAGAUGAAACAAAUCAGACAGAUAUCCUAAAUUCAAAUAAUGCAUAGCCUUGCAGGGAGACAUUCAUUCACUCCAUGAAUAUUUAUGAGCACCUGGCAGGUGGCAGGUGUAUUCUAAAAAUGAGGAGGAAGCAGCAGAGGCCAGUGGAGUGCAGCUGUUUGGGGGUUCACAUGUCACUGGUAAGACAGACAAAGAGCAGGAUUCAUGGCAUUUUCUAUGAAGAUGACAAAACUUCAUGGAAAAGUAAAUGCUUGGGGAGGAGACAUGGGGAGGCCUUGUUGUACAGGCAGGUCAGGGAUGGUCUAGCUGAGGAGGAGGCACCAGAGCUGAGGCUGACAUAAGAGAAGGAGCCAAACAUGCAAAGAAGCAGUGGGAAAGUGCUCCAGGCACAGCAACAGCAAAUGCCAAGGCUGUGAGCUGGGCAUGAAACGGGUAUAAUUAUUACACAGUAGCUCUAAUUCAGGAAGGAGGAAGGGCCAAGUGUCUGGAAGAUGCAGAGUUUGGAAUAUGGAAGGGAACAGGCAAAGCUGGAAACAGUCUGAGCCCAUAAAGGCUGCACAUCAGCUCUGUAGCCAUCGGUGGAGCUGAAAGAGACAGGACAAAGGCUCAUAGGAAAGGCAGGACCUGUCCUGAGCUUGAACAACAGAGACGACCUUGAGAAACCUAUUUGCAAAAUGCUUCAAGCAUAAAUGCCAUUUCCUACUAUAACUUUCCAUAGUAGCAGGUUGAAUUGAAUCCCCCAAAAUAUUACAUUCAAAUCCUAACCCCCAGUAUCUAUGAAUGUGCCUUUAUUUGGAAACAAUCUCUUUGUAGAUGUCAUCAAGUUAAGAUAACAUCAUACAGGAUUAGGGUGGGCCCUAAAUCCAAUGAUGUCCUUUUAAAAAGCUGGACACAGAAACACAGAGAGGAGAAUGCCAGUCUAAAGUGGAGGCAGAGCUUGGAGGGAUAUGCCUACAAUAAAACAAGAAACACCAAGGAUUUCUGGAGCCAAGAAAGAGGAAUGGAACAGAUUCUCCCUCAAAGCCCUCGGAAGGAACCAACCCUGCCAACUCUUGACUUCCAACUUCUGGCCUCAAGAACUGAAAUAACACAUUUCUGUGGUUUUAGUCCCCCAAGCUGUGGCAACUAUCUUCAGCAGCCCCAGGACGCUAACAUAGCUCUGCUUCCCUUUGCAGAGCUGGGCAGGGAUUCUGCCACCUGAGGGUUUGGCAUCCAAUUCUUCUGUGAGAUAUUUACUCUUAGUGCCUUAGGCGCCAAUUAUUGUCUUUGAUUAAUUUCAGGGCCUCAAAUUGUGAACCCCUCAGUUUUUCUAACAAUGCCCCUCCUAACCCCAGUCAAGGCCAGCAGUGUUGAAGGGUUCAUUGGGAGGGGACCUGCACUGGCUGUUUGGACUAUCAGCUCCACCAGUGCCUACUGUGGCCUGUGCUUUCUUAGCACAUUUUUAAAGAAAUAAGCUAUUGAACUUGUUGAAAUAAUAAAACAACCCAGGAAUCACCUGAUCCAAAUAAACAAACACCAAUUAACUGCCACUGUGGUGGGCAGAUUCUAGGAUGGUCCAAAUGCUACAGCCUUCUGAAAUUCACAUCCUGGAGUGAUCUCUUCACAAGUGUGGGAUGGACCUAGUGACUGGCUCCUAAUGAGCAGAAUAUGGUAGAAGGGAUAAGACGCUGCUUCUGAGAUUGGGUCAUAAAAAGGCUGUGGCUUUUGCCUUGGGCACUCUCUCCUGGCCACAUCCUAAGGCAGUCUCACAGACAGGCUCACUUGGUCAGGAAUGGUGGCCUCCCUACAGACACAUGAAUGAGCUUGCAAACAGACCCCAGUCAGCCUUGAGGUAACUGCAGGCCCAGUAACACCUGGGUGCAGCCUGGUGAGAGACCCCAAGCUGGAACCACCUAGCUCAGCCAUACCCAGAUUCCCAGCCCAUAGAAACUACAAGAUAAUAAAUGUUUGUUGUUUUCAGCCACUAGGUUGUUGGAAUAAUCAGCUAUUCAGCAAUAGAUACCCAGCGUCCUCACUGUGGGGCUGCAGAGUGCUUUGAAUACCAAAAUGUUUAUUAAAGAGGAAAAUUAUCUUGGAUGAGCAUAGAUCAGAUAAGGUCAGAUUAGGGUGCUGUACUUCAUUCAUUCAUUCAGUUAGGUACACUUCAUUCAUUCAUUCAGUUAGCCAGUCAGCCACACUCAUUCCUUUAUUCAUGCUGCUAUGUGCCAAGUAUUGUCCUGGGCACUGGAGAUAAUGAAAAUAAAAACAGCCCCUGUCCAUAAUGACAUCAUAGUCUAAUGAAGAUGACAGGGCAUAUUUAAAUAAUUGCUUUUGUGAGAUAAAUGCUAACAUAUGUUCAGUCACUUUUUCAACCAACAGACAUUUUCUGAGUGCUUGCCAUUGUGCCAACCUUGUGCUAAAUGCUGGGCUUCAUACCAUGGGCAAGACUGGCCUGGGUCCUUUUCUCGUGGAGGCCAUGGUCUGCGUAGGAGGCACUUCACCCUCCAAGUACACACAGGGAAAGAAUAACUGCUCUGUCUGGUCUUAAGGGAGGGCUUCCAAAACGAAGUUCUUGAAGGAAGCCUUGAAAAAAGAGUAGGAAGUACUCUUGUUCCAGUAGUUCUGGCAGAAGAAUGGGAAGGAAAUUCCAAGGAACAGAAUGUGUGUUACUUGGAAGCAUGUGACAAUGUGGUGUGUCUGUGUCUGCAGUCCAGCAAGGAGUUCGACCUCGCUGAAUACUUUGCCUCUGAUACCACAAAGAAGGGUGCUUCUGGAUGUUUACUGCAGCAAGACUUGCAACCCUGGACACUAAGCUACCACCUGAAUGUUCGUGGGUGCCUGUUGUCUACUCAGGAUCCACACCAUGGGCACCACUGUCCCCAAGGAGGGAAGGUAGAGCCCUCCCAGGGUUCUCAGCCUCAGUAUUACUGACUCACUCUGUUGAUAGCCUGUCCUGUGCAGUGUAGGAUGUUUAGCAACAUCCCUGGCCUCUGCCCACUAGAUGCCAGUAGCUCCCCCUCCCACAUUGUGACAACCAACAUUUUCCCUGGGUAUCACCAAAUGUCCCCUGGGUGGGGGCAAAAUUGCUCCCAGGUGAUAAUCACUGCUCUUUAGAACCAACAUAUUAUUAAAAGACCAGAGAAAGACAUGAUCUUAAUUCCUAAUUCUAUGUAAAAAAAAAAGAAAAGUGAAUGUAUGUGCAUGCCCAUAGCUAUAGGAAUUGAUGGCUAAGGUCUAUGGAGCACACUCUUAUGCUCCCCAAGGUUAAAGAAUUUCCAUGAGGAGACAGUGGUGUGACAGAGACACUCAAAGGAGGGUUUAGCCUCUUUCACUCAGUGUACUCUGCAAUGAUUAAAUUGAUUAUAAUAAGAAUGUUUCCAUGUUAUCAGUUGUUUAAAGAAGUUCAAAUAUGCCCUACUCUUAUGGCCAAAGGUAUUUGUAAACAUGUCAAAAAUGGCUAUGGAAGGUCUUGGCAGCAAAGACAGGAAAAGUUAGAAAGUAUAUGUGAGUUCCCUGAGACGGAAGGGAGAAAAACAACGCCAAACUGAAGAUAAGUGUAUCAGUUAUUGCCUACAUGCCAGGAAUACCAUAUGAGAGUUUAAGAAGUUAAAAUAGGCCGGGCGUGGUGGCUCACACCUGUAAUCCCAGC